CAAUAGUUUGUUUAAACUGUAGUACGUGUAACCUUCACGCGGAUUUAAUUACGAUUUAUCAUGGAGUGUGGGGCAGUCGAUCGCCUUUUCCCUUCGUGAAAGCUUUCGACGUCGCGAAGUGACGGUAUUUUAUUCUCAAGUGUAUUCGACUAAGAUUUUAAUCGUUUUCUGCAGUUGUGUGAAUUGUACCACUUCAACGAGAAAUUCACGUUUAUUAAAAUAGCACAUUCUUUCUGGGUACGCUGCAUACUUAAGAAUUUCAUAUGCAUGAUAGUCGAUGAGAGCUUUGAAAUGGUUUUUAACUCCAUCGAUUUGGUGGCCUAUUUAUUGUAAAUAAAAUAUAUUAAAAAUAAAUAAAAGUUCCAUGUGUCACAAUGAAUAUCAACGAUAAAAAGAAAUAUCCAGAAAAUCCACGGCAAAAUGCGAAUGUGAUUUCCAUUCUCACCUUUUGGUGGACCCGACAAAUUUUUCGAACUGGCUACAAAAAAGAUUUGGAAGAAACUGAUCUCUAUGUUACAUUAACGCAAGACAAAACCAGCAAAUUAGGCGAACUUAUAGGUAAAGCUUGGGAAAUAGAAGUAGACUCAUGCGUUAAAAAGAAAGAUGGUACUAAGCCACAGUUGCUAAGAGUACUGUUGCACAUUUUUGGAAAAUCACUCUUGCUAAUUGGAAUUGCACAAGGAGUAAUGGAGCUAUUUUCCAGAAUGUAUCAACCAUUACUACUUGCUACUUUGCUGCGCUAUUUCGCAGGCGAUAGAAAAGACUGGAGCAAUGAAGUUUAUUAUAGUGCUGGCGGUAUAAUUCUGUUGUCUUUCACAGAGACUAUUAUUUCACAUUAUUCUGUAUAUUGCACCUUUCACUUAGGACUGAAGAUUACGAUUGCUUGUACUGCAUUGAUUUACCAAAAAAUAUUAAAACUUUCCAGCUCCGUACUGGACAAAGAGACAUCUGUUGGACAGAUGGUAAAUUUUUUGAGUAGCGAUAUUAGCAGAAUGAGAGAACUGAUGCAUUUGCAUUACAUUUGGAUCGCUCCUCUUCAAGUCACAUGGAUCACAUAUAUUACAUUUUCUGAAAUUGGAUGGGCAGCACUGGUCGGAAUAUCCAUAUUCUUAUUAUUUAUUCCUUUCCAAGCGUUCUUAGCGAAAGUAACUAUGCCUUUAACGCUUAAAUUAGCACAAAAAACAGAUACCAGACUUAGGUUGAUGAAGCAAGUAAUCACAGGAGUGCAAGUCAUUAAAAUGUAUGUUUGGGAAAGUCCUUUUUAUGAUCUCGUAGAAAAGGCGAGAAAGAGUGAGAUGAUGGUAACAAAGAAAUAUUAUAUUCUAAAACAAUUCUCUCUUACUCUUCACCGCUACGUACCGCUACUUAGUAUCUUUGCGACGAUAUUAUCAUACGUUUUAUUUGGAAAUUAUAUCAGUGCUGAAAAAGUGUAUCUAGUAACAGCAUACUACAAUGUUUUACGACUCAAUUUGGUUCACAGAUUUUCAUCGGGUCUCCAUCAAUUAGUACAGGCAUUAGUUUGUAUUCGCCGAUUGCGAAGAUUCAUGUUGCACGAUGAGAUCGUCAAAACGAAACAGAACUCAUGUCAGACAAUUCCUGACUCGUUUGCACUUCAUAUGACCGACGUAAACGCCAAAUGGCAUGGCGACAAUAAGGCUGAUACGUUGCAUAACGUAAACUUAACCAUAUCACCCGGCAGCUUUGUUGCUAUUGUUGGUCAGGUGGGUUCGGGUAAGAGUAGCCUCUUACAAGCGAUACUCCAGGAAUUGCCGUUGACAAGUGGACGUAUCGAGAGCCGUGGCAGAAUAAACUACGUUAGCCAACAGCCAUGGAUCUUCGCGUCUUCAGUGAAGCAGAACGUUUUGUUUGGACAGUCGAUGGACAAGUCGCGUUACGACAAAGUGAUCAGAGUCUGCCAGAUGGAAUCGGACAUAGAUACGUUUCCUUAUGGCGAUCGCACCAUCGUGGGCGAGAGAGGAAUGAAUCUGAGUGGUGGCCAGCGUGCUAGAAUCAAUCUGGCUCGAGCGAUCUACAAAGACGCCGAUAUUUAUUUGCUAGAUGAUCCCCUUUCUGCCGUGGAUUCUCACGUCAGCAAAUAUCUCGUGGACAAGUGCAUCUGUGGCUAUCUAAAAGGAAAAACGAGGAUUCUGGUGACGCAUCAACUGCAGUAUUUACAGCUCGCCGACCAGAUUAUUGUUAUGAAUAACGGUACUAUCGAGAGAAAGGGUACCUUCGACCAAUUGCAAGCGUCGGGUCACGAUUUUAUGAAGUUGGUAAAGACGACACAUUCUAAAAGCAAAGAGGCUGAGAGUGGACCAUCUGAAAUUCAACGUCAAAUUUCAAUGAAGGCUGAGUCAAAUGGAGUAAAGGUUGACGAGGAUACUUCACCGGUUGAAACGCAGGAAACGAUGGCGAAGGGACGCAUAUCUCGCGGAAUGUUGUUCAUUUACUUUAAGGCGAGUAAAAAGCCUGUCUUGAUCACGCUGAUGACGUUGAUCUUCUUAAUGAUCCAGAUUAUGUCCAGCGGUAGCGAUUACUUUGUUGCAUUCUGGGUGAACGUCGAAUCGAGUUCGUGGCAUGAAACGGAAAACUCCACGCUGGACUUUCGGUGGGAAGGACCACUGUCUCGUGACUCCAUGAUCUACAUAUAUAGCGCUAUGAUAGUGAUCAUCAUACUGCUAUGGCAAUUGCAAACAGUCGUGUACUAUACGGUGUGCACAUGGUCCUCGGUGAAUCUUCAUUCCGCUAUGUUUCGCAGCAUAUUGCGUGCAACUAUGUAUUUCUAUAGCACCAAUCCAGCUGGCCGUAUAUUAAACAGAUUUGCCAGAGAUAUCAAUAUUGUCGACUUAAUGCUGUCAAUAUGCAUAUUUGACGUCAUAGUUACCGGACUCAUCUCAAUCACGGUAGCUGUUAUGGUUGUGGCGAUUACCCCGUGGCUGGCGAUACCUACUGUAAUUUGCGCUUGUAUUUUUACUUGUUUUCGCAUAAUAUAUAUCUCUACCGGGCGCAGUAUCAAGCGCCUUGAAGGCACAACACGUUCGCCGAUCUUCGAUCAUCUCGGAGCGUCUCUGCAAGGUCUGACGACAAUUAGAGCUUUUAAUGCCGAGGAAGUAUUAAUGGCGGAGUUGUGUAGUCAUCAAGAUGUUCAUUCGUCCGCUUGUUUUCUCUUUUUAUCUACGUCUCGGGCUUUCGGCUUCUACAUCGAUAUCAUUUGCCAGUUUUACGUUGCGACAAUAAUCAUAGCUUUUACUAUGAUUGAUGGUCUGGCUGUCGUUGGUGACAUUGGUUUGAUAAUGACACAGACCAUGUCACUGACGGUCUUGCUGCAAUGGGGAAUGAGGCAAACGGCCGAGCUAGAAAGUCAGUUGACGUCUAUAGAAAGGAUACUCGAGUACAGCCGUUUAGAGGAGGAGCCGAUGCUCGACAGCAAGCCAGAUACCAAACCGCCGGACAAUUGGCCGGCGAAUGGUCUUGUGGAAUUCAAAAACGUAAGCUUGAAAUACAAUCGUCAUGGCGCUUACAUCCUCAGAAACGUCAGCUUCACCGUCUUGCCGGAAGAAAAGAUCGGUAUCGUCGGCAGAACUGGCGCGGGAAAAUCGUCUCUGAUCAAUGCCCUCCUUCGUCUAGCCUGCGUUGAGGGUGAGAUUCUCAUAGACGGCGUGUCCACCGACACGGUCGCCCUGCACGACUUCCGCUCGAAGAUCAGUAUUAUCCCUCAGGAGCCGUUCUUGUUCACUGGCAGUCUGCGACAAAAUCUCGAUCCCUUCGACCAGUAUACCGACACCGUGCUGUGGCAGGCACUCGAGGAUGUCGAGUUAAAGGAGACGAUCUCCGAGAUGGCCAGCGGACUGAACACAAAGGUGUCUGACGAGGGAUCGAAUUUUAGCGUUGGCCAGAAACAACUGCUGUGCCUCGCGCGAGCUAUCGUCAAGAACAAUCGGAUUAUGGUACUGGACGAAGCAACUGCCAACAUCGAUCCUUACACGGAUUCCCUUAUACAAAAGACAGUUAGGACGAAAUUUAUAAACUGUACUGUGUUCACCAUAGCUCACAGGUUAAACACUAUUAUGGAUAGUGACAGAAUAUUUGUGAUGGAUGCUGGACAUCUUGUGGAAUUUAACCACCCACAUAUUCUUUUACAACAGAAAGGACAUUUUUAUAAUAUGAUACAACAGACUGGUACUGCGAUGGCCGAAAAUCUUAUUGAUGUAGCCACGAAAAAUUUCCACAAUAAGGCUAAAUCUCUGUCUUAAUUAUAAUGAUCUUAUUUUUUAAUGUAUCGAAAAAUAUUCCAACAAACGUAUUCAAUGUUAAAUUUAUUACAUAAUUUAUUAUCUGUGGUUUUUAUUGUCUUUUUAAAUUUAUGGACUUUUUUCCGUAACAUAUUAAAUAAAUUACAUAAUUUAAAAUAAAAUAUAAAGAUAAAAUUUUAUGUAUACGAAGAAAGACACCAAUCAAAGACAUCUUUAAUUGAUUGAUCAAAUAAGUUCUUAAUUGUAUUAUUAAUUUAAUUUUAUUAUUUGUAAUUUAGUAUUUAAAAAAUUUAUUAUACAAUAGCUUACAAUAAAGACAGCAAUACAUUUAAAACUUUUUAAUUUGUUUGAGUAAAUAAAUAGAAACAAUUUUAAUAACAUAAAUUCUUUGCAUUCACACAGUCAAUAAUACAUAUAACAUAUUGUAUAUUCUAUAUUCUGUAUUGUAAUUUUUUUUAUUCCAAAAAUUGUAUAUAAUUGUACUAUUUAAUUGUACAAUUCGAUCCCAACGACAAACAUAAUUGUACAACAUUGUAGAAAUAGCUAAAACGUUUAUUAUAAUUUUUAAAUCGUAGAAAAUAUUUUUGAGUUAAUACUUUUGUAUAUGACGAAGAGAUUUUAUACACUGUAUACUAACGAUCAUAUAAUGAAUUUUAUUAUAACAAUGUAUUACGAUACGUGAUGGAUUUUGAUUCUAUUAUCAAAAAAACUAUAAAAUAAGAAACGUAAGAACGUUUCUGCAAUAUUUUUAGGCCGAAAUCAAUAUAAUAAUAACUUUAUAUUGUAAAGUCACAAUUCAAACACAAUCGCAUUAGAUCGAUAUUAUUGAUUUUGUUGAUAUAAUGUGAUAUGCAUUAAAAUUCGUUGUAAAGAUCUAAUCUUUUUUAUGACAUGAGAAAUAAUAUCACAUUAAUCACAUUUAUUAUAAA
rnacentral:misc_RNA from 1 species